UCAGCGUUUUGUGGAAUACCAUCUCUACCAUGUACCACUGCUUCGACGAGCUCCAACAACGCCGAACCUCCCCGUCCUCCCAUGCCUCCGCCGGCCGGCGUACCUCUUGCAUGGUCUCCCUUGCAGAUUCCCCCGCCGCCGCACCAAACCCUUGCCCCAAUCGUGAUGAUGUGCUGGAACUCUACUGCCGUCUCUCCUGCGGCGGCUCGCCUCCAGCCGAUCCGGCUCGCCGCCGGUAAGGUUCAGCGAGAAUCGGCCGUUCCAGCUCCGGCGGCCAUUAUUUCGGCACAUGCGGCUACUACACCUCCAGGGCGCCGCCGGGACAAGGAGGAGGCUGCCUCGCUGCACCCUCCCGGCCUCCCCAUGGGACAAGGAGGAGGUUGCCGGCGCACGGGAGGCUUGCAGGCGACACCAGCCACGUCGAGGAGCAGCGAGGAGCAUAUGGACGCAAUGACCACGGCCCGGCGAUGAGAGUGGAGCGGUCGACGAGGAUGCAUAUGGCCACGACGCCAGUUGUGUGAGUAGCUAUUUGGUAGCUAGGCCCGGAGGUUGAUAGGCCAAGAAAUCAUUGGAAGCUGUUGCUUCACCUUGCUGAGCUGCAGGUUCAGCUGCUGAGUGAGCUCUGUUGCUUCUCUUCUCCUCAUGUGUAAUUUUUUCAUGCUGCUACUUUAGAUGGUGGUGUAUGGUUUGCUGCACAUGAUCAUACAUGCCUAGCUGUGUACAUCUGUUCACCGAUAAGCAUGCCGCCACGGGCGAGCAAACAAUACCUGUCGCGCCACCAUGCCCAUGGCAGCCAUCGGGUGUCCAUUGGGGUGAGCUCUCUCUCUUCCCCUCUUCUAUGGUAUUUGUUCCGAUGUUUCCUUCCACAUUGUUUGGAGCAUAUCAGCCAGAGGUCAUGCGAUAGACCUUUAGAUAGACUCAUUUAAGCACUAUAAAUCAACAAGGUUAUGAGUGUUGUGCCCUUAUAGGCAACAGUCCAAAAAGGACAUGGUUAUUUUAUUUUCAAAAUUUUAAAAUGCUCACCUGCUAAUGCUGACAUGCUUCAUCUGACACUGGUAGCCUUCAUGGCUGUCCUUAGAAAAGAUAUGAUGAGAAGCGAAAAAAUUGCAUAUGGUGUCAACGGGACAGAUCAUCAUGCAACAAUCAGAUGUCUUAUUUCAGUCCAUUGUUUGAUUCAAAUAAGAAGUAUAAUUAGUGAUUAAUUUUAAGUUGUUGUUGGAGAGAUAUUUGUGAUACAUCUAUGUUUUCAAAGGGGGUUUUCUUUUUGCCUUGAAAUAAAAUGCAUCUAGCCAACUCUUGAAGUUGGCCUCAAGGGCAGUGAAGGCAACACCCAGGAUUCCCAAAUUAUGUUAAAGGAUUCUUCCUUUAUAAGCUGAGAGCUGCCAAAUCGUACUGCAGUUUAAUUAUAUUUCUUAUUGUGCACUCUGACUGUUAGUUGGCGUCGCUUUCAGGUUUUUUCUAAGCAAUGCAGCGCCAUUAUUUACUUUAUUCUAAUGUUUGUUACAUUCAUAUUUCUAUUUUAAUGAUUCGAUGAUAUAUUCUCACGACCAUUAUAUUGAUCACUAUUGACUUGGAAAUUCAUGAAAUUCAUCUUUCAAUAGUCACCAAUUUAAUAACCAUUUUACAGUAUGCCUUCAUUGUUAUUAUAAUAGAUGCAUCUUCUCAAGCAUUAUAUUUUCUUACUAUGAAUUUCCUAUCCAGGACCACGAGAGUCGAACACACUCUAUUUUGUUAUAGCUGAAUUUGUCCUUUCCAUCGUGCUAACUUCUUUUGAGUGUCGAGGAUAGCUGAUGUCGGUUACUGUGCAACUUUCUUUUCUAAACACAAGGAAUACAAAUUACUUUCUUUUGAAAAAAGGCAGCACCUCCUCAGAAAACAACACAUAUUAAUUUACCUUGGAAGUUUGGGUUCAUUGGACAUUUGUAUUAUGAAUAAUGGUUACAAAUUUUUGCGGUUGGUUUUCAUUUUUCUCAAUUUUUGGUAACUUUGCUCUCGUAUUUAUUUGUUGGACCAGUGGAUGCAAGACUUUGAUGCCUUUCAGACAGGUAUGGAUUCUGAUUCAUCGUACCCUCUUAAUUUACCCGGAGUCUCUCUAUUGGGUUGUGUCAGGUAGGUGGCUGAACUGGACAAGGCGUUUACUUAGGAGUGUUUAGGAAGGCCGACAAUGAGUGGUGUUUGUUUCUAGGUCAUUUUUGUGGGAAUGAACUGCUGCGAUAUCACUACGUGACUGACUUUUAUUAGUCUAUAAAUCAACUUGCACUUCUUUGAAGAGACUAAUCAAGAUUGACCUAAGUUCUAGCUGCUGAUUUGUAUGAACUGCUAAAUUGUGAGACAAUAUUGCACAACGGGAGCUACACGCCAGAGGUAUGCCACACUUCUGAAAAGAAAGUCAACAUGCAACAUGGAGAUUAUACCAAAGUUUCAGUACCUCGGCUUGGACAGAAAUCAGGCAGACCACCUUGCACUUCUGGCCCCUUCUAUCUGCUCAGCUCUUUCGUCAUUCAGUGAAAGCUUAGAUCUAUAAUUUUCCUAAUUAUAGAAGGCAAAUUCUCAGCAUUAUGAUUUAUGGGAAAGACCUAAAUUAGCAAGUUUUGUCUCCUCUGCUACAUAUUAGACCUUUUUGGCUUAUGAUGCAACCUGCAUACCAAAUUGUUGCAAGCAUCAGUAUCAUCCUAUGGGCGCGGUGUGCCAGUGUGCCUUAUGUCUAUCAUACGGAAAUUCUUACUUGCUACUCUACUAGCUUAGAGAAUGAAUUCUUUCCUAUAUUGGUGUUCUCCUUGACAUUGGACAAUAAUGGAACAGGACCAGGAUUCUUAUAUUGAUGCUCUGUAUGGUUCGUUAGCUGAGAACUAUUCAGCUGCUUCAUAUUUGGCUCAACAUGCUAUACUAUUAUAACCUUUUCCUACUAACAAUGUCGCUAACAAUAUAUGAUUUGGUUCUUUCUGAAGUCCCCGGAGUUGCAAGAGGGCUUGACAGUUGUGAUAUAUGCAAGGACAAUGGACCAUAUUACUGAUGCAGAUUUAUUAUAUCCUCAAGAGUUCCUUCUUUCUGUUGAUCUUAGUAAUUUCCCACUGCACAAGAUUUGUCUCGAGGUUAGCAUGCCUGUAAUUUGUAAGAAACAUCAGGACUAUGUAACCGGACACUUCAGAGUUACAAAUUAUGACAGGAAACAACAAGGGACAAUGUGUAUGCAUACCAAGAAUGGUACUGAAUGCACCUUCUUCCAAGUAGCCUUC